rnacentral:rRNA from 1 species
UGGGGAAUUUUCCGCAAUGGGCGAAAGCCUGACGGAGCAAUACCGCGUGAGGGAUGACGGCCUUUGGGUUGUAAACCUCUUUUAUCAAGGAGGAAGUUCUGACGUGUACUUGAUGAAUAAGCAUCGGCUAACUCCGUGCCAGCAGCCGCGGUAAGACGGAGGAUGCAAGUGUUAUCCGGAAUCACUGGGCGUAAAGCGUCUGUAGGUGGUUUAAAAAGUCUAUUGUUAAAAAUUGAAGCUUAACUUCAAAGAUGCAAUGGAAACUUUUAAACUUGAGUAUGGUAGGGGUAGAGGGAAUUUCCAGUGGAGCGGUGAAAUGCGUAGAUAUUGGAAAGACCACCAAUGGCGAAGGCACUCUACUGGGCCAUUACUGACACUGAGAGACGAAAGCUAGGGGAGCAAAUG